CCAAACCCAGAAAAUGAAGAACAAAACACAGAUAACGAAAAACAUGAGAUUAAGUAAACAACAAUCCAAGUUUUCUUUAACACAAGUAAAACAAAUCCAUCAAACUUUUUUGUUAAACCAAAAAAAAAAAAAAAAAAACUGAUCCCUCCACCAGCCAACUGCAAAUCAAUAUUACUCAACGAAAAAAAAAAAAAAAUUUAGCUUCCAAAAUCCACACCAUAAACCCCAAAAUCACUUCACACUAAACCAUGAACACAAAAAAUUCCAGAAAGCCAAUUCAUUUGAAUGACACAUGCCUCCUUCUAUAUCACCCACCAAACUCAAAAACCGAUCCACUUCAACCAUGAACAUUCUAAUCCAAAUGGUACUUGGGCCAAAUUCAUACACAAAGCCAUCCCGAUUCACCAAACCCACACCCAAUUCAACUAUCUGUUUCGUUGGUGACCAGAUCUGAAAGAUCACGCCGAGAUAGCUCGAUCUGGGUUCACCCAUUUUGCCUCUUUAGAACAAGCAGCGGUUGCAGUUAGCUGUAACGUCGGACCAGCGGGUGGGCGUGGAAGAGACAUCUUUAGUGAAUUUGAACUCACUGAUUGCGACCUAGAGCUUGCCCCGCUGCGUGAUUGGACAGUGGUGGGUUUAUGGUUUCUGGGCUUCUUGAUGACAGACGGAAAUGAGGAGCUGCUUGUGGGUUAUAUAUGGCAUAUAGGUUGUUCAUCUAAGUGGGUUUGUUGUUUCAUCUCUCCGUGUUGUUGUUUUUUUCUGGGUUGUAAAUUUGUGGGUUUGAUGUUCAUCUCUGUGGGUUUGAUUUUAAUAUCUGGGUCUUGUUCUUCAUUUCCAGGGUUUGGUGUAGCUCAUGAAAGAGGAGGCAUUUGGGUCAUUUCAAGUGGGGUUAGUGGCUUCCACUUAAGCACCACCCAGUUGAGUUGUGCAUGACUGUAAUCUCGACCAAACUUAACCGGUAAAUAGACGGAGGGUGGAAAGUGUACUAUCUAUCUAGAAUAAAUUUUUCUAAGAGAACAAGUGACUCGUUGAAUGAAGCUGUUGUGAGAAUGACAGUGGGAAAGCUGGUUGCAUGAGGAACUAGAUCAUCAAAGAUGGUUCCUUUACCAAAAUUGGCCACACCAUGGAGAGCCUCAGACCACCACUCAUACUUAGGCAGUGCCAAUCUAGGCACCCCUUCAGCACUAUUUCCUAGCUGUGCUAUCUUUUCAGGUAGUGUCAUUUGUCUCACGAGAUCUUUCGCCCUAACACUGUAGGGAAGCUUUGAGUCACAAAAUGCGAAUCUUGACAUGUCCAGAUUGAGUUUGGCAUAUCUGGAAGGAUCACAUACAUAAGCGAAGUCACUGCCAGUUGGGGUGAGAUCAUCAGGUCUAAUUUUUGAGACUGCUUUUCUCACAUCUGUACUAAUCACAAAGGAAGCAAUAGUGAAAGAGAUACAAAGAAGAAAAAAAAGAAAAAAAAGA